CCCGCGUGUGUCCCAGCUGUCAGCAGCGCCUCCUGAAAUUGUUUUCCAAGCCCCCAUUCAAAAUGGUAGGCCGGCACGAGCCGUCUGUGAGGGACAGAACGGGGCUCUGGCUGGGCUCAAUUCCUUCGUGGGGUCCAGUGAUCGGAGGUGCCUCCAAGAUUUCCCGAGUUCCACUCCAGAGACACGGACCUGCUAUUCCCGCACAGAUGGCCCGGGAAGAAUUUUCUAAAUCCCCUCAGAAGCCCGGGAGCUUGCUUGCUCCAACCAGUGAGGCCCUGCCCUGAGAGCUGCAAGACCCAGCCUGGAAGGACAAACCACAGCCUCCACAACUGGACCCAAGCAAUCAGGACCUGAUCAAUAUCUGACAUUUUCCCGUCAAUGUCCCUUUUCCUCAAAAAGCUUCCAAAAUAGAAAAUGGAAGAAAGCCAAAUUUUCUCCCCCUCACCAAUCUUGUCUGACCUUGAGUCAGCCUGACCCUCCCAUCAGGACGUGUCUUCCUUUUGUUUCCACCAGAAACUUCUCCCACUCCUCCACCUGCCUUGGAGUCUCUGCAACUGCUGGUGGCUGAUUCCCUCGCCAUGUAGAGCAAGCUCUGACUACAUGGUGCUUGUUCUCAUUUGGAAGGUCUUCCUUUAUCUCAGUAGUGGGGGAACCAAACAAAGCGCUCAGAGAAUCAUACUGUUCCCCAUGUUAACUCUUAAAAAAAAAUAUAUGUAUUUAUCAUAUAAUUUUUUAAUUGAGAUAUAAUUCAUGUACCAUGAAAUUCACCCUUAUAAGAAUGAACAAUUCAGUGAUUUAUACUCUAUUCACAAAGUUAUGUAAAUGUCACCACUGCCUAAUUCCAGAAUAUUUCAUUGCCCUAAAAAAGACAUUCCUUCCCAUUAAAUAGUUUCUUUCCAUUCCACCCUCUCCCCAGACCCUGGCAACCACCAAUCUGCUUUUUUAUCUGGAUCUAUGGAUUUAUCUGCAUCUCUGUAUUCUGGAUAUUUCAUGAAAAUGAAACCAUACA